AGUGAACGCUGGCGGUAGGCCUAACACAUGCAAGUCGAACGGCAGCACAGUAAGAGCUUGCUCUUACGGGUGGCGAGUGGCGGACGGGUGAGGAAUACAUCGGAAUCUACUUUUUCGUGGGGGAUAACGUAGGGAAACUUACGCUAAUACCGCAUACGACCUACGGGUGAAAGCAGGGGAUCUUCGGACCUUGCGCGAUUGAAUGAGCCGAUGUCGGAUUAGCUAGUUGGCGGGGUAAAGGCCCACCAAGGCGACGAUCCGUAGCUGGUCUGAGAGGAUGAUCAGCCACACUGAAACUGAGACACGGUCCAGACUCCUACGGGAGGCAGCAGUGGGGAAUAUUGGAAAAUGGGCGCAAGCCUGAUCCAGCCAUACCGCGUGGGUGAAGAAGGCCUUCGGGUUGUAAAGCCCUUUUGUUGGGAAAGAAAAGCAGCAGGUUAAUACCCCGCUGUUCUGACGGUACCCAAAGAAUAAGCACCGGCUAACUUCGU
rnacentral:rRNA from 1 species